rnacentral:rRNA from 1 species
CGUGUGUGAAGAAGGCCUUAUGGUUGUAAAGCACUUUAAGCGAGGAGGAGGCUACUUUAGUUAAUACCUAGAGAUAGUGGACGUUACUCGCAGAAUAAGCACCGGCUAACUCUGUGCCAGCAGCCGCGGUAAUACAGAGGGUGCGAGCGUUAAUCGGAUUUACUGGGCGUAAAGCGUGCGUAGGCGGCUUAUUAAGUCGGAUGUGAAAUCCCCGAGCUUAACUUGGGAAUUGCAUUCGAUACUGGUGAGCUAGAGUAUGGGAGAGGAUGGUAGAAUUCCAGGUGUAGCGGUGAAAUGCGUAGAGAUCUGGAGGAAUACCGAUGGCGAAGGCAGCCAUCUGGCCUAAUACUGACGCUGAGGUACGAAAGCAUGGGGAGCAAACAGGAUUAGAUACCCUGGUAGUCCAUGCCGUAAACGAUGUCUACUAGCCGUUGGGGCCUUUGAGGCUUUAGUGGCGCAGCUAACGCGAUAAGUAGACCGCCUGGGGAGUACGGUCGCAAGACUAAAACUCAAAUGAAUUGACGGGGGCCCGCACAAGCGGUGGAGCAUGUGGUUUAAUUCGAUGCAACGCGAAGAACCUUACCUGGCCUUGACAUACUAGAAACUUUCCAGAGAUGGAUUGGUGCCUUCGGGAAUCUAGAUACAGGUGCUGCAUGGCUGUCGUCAGCUCGUGUCGUGAGAUGUUGGGUUAAGUCCCGCAACGAGCGCAACCCUUUUCCUUACUUGCCAGCAUUUCGGAUGGGAACUUUAAGGAUACUGCCAGUGACAAACUGGAGGAAGGCGGGGACGA